rnacentral:rRNA from 1 species
GACGAACGCUGGCGGCGUGCUUAACACAUGCAAGUCGAACGCUGAAGCUUGGUGCUUGCACUGGGUGGAUUAGUGGCGAACGGGUGAGUAAUACGUGAGUAACCUGCCUUUGACUCUGGGAUAAGCCCGGGAAACCGGGUCUAAUACUGGAUACUACAUGUCACCGCAUGGUGGUGUGUUGAAAGGGUUUUAGUGGUUUUGGAUUGGCUCACGGCCUAUCGGCUUGUUAGUGGGGUAAUGGCUCACCAAGGCGACGACGGAUCGCCGGCCUGAGAGGGUGGCCGGCCACCAUAGGACUGAGACACGGCCCAGACUCCUACGGGAGGCAGCAGUGGGGAAUAUUGCGCAAUGGGCGAAAGCCUGAGACAGCGACGCCGCGUGAGGGAUGACGGCCUUCGGGUUGUGAACCUCUUUCAGCACGGAAGAAGCGAAAGUGACGGUACGUGCAGAAGAAGCGCCGGCUAACUACGUG